rnacentral:rRNA from 1 species
UACGUAGGGGGCAAGCGUUGUCCGGAUUUAUUGGGCGUAAAGAGCGUGUAGGCGGCCAGACAGGUCCGUUGUGAAAACUCGAGGCUCAACCUCGAGACGCCGAUGGAAACCGUCUGGCUAGAGUCCGGAAGAGGAGAGUGGAAUUCCCGGUGUAGCGGUGAAAUGCGCAGAUAUCAGGAGGAACACCCGUGGCGAAGGCGGCUCUCUGGGACGGUACUGACGCUGAGACGCGAAAGCGUGGGGAGCGAACAGG